rnacentral:rRNA from 1 species
GCGGAGGGAUCAUUACUGAGUUUACGCUCUAUAACCCUUUGUGAACAUACCUAUAACUGUUGCUUCGGCGGGUAGGGUCUCCGUGACCCUCCCGGCCUCCCGCCCCCGGGCGGGUCGGCGCCCGCCGGAGGAUAACCAAACUCUGAUUUAACGACGUUUCUUCUGAGUGGUACAAGCAAAUAAUCAAAACUUUUAACAACGGAUCUCUUGGUUCUGGCAUCGAUGAAGAACGCAGCGAAAUGCGAUAAGUAAUGUGAAUUGCAGAAUUCAGUGAAUCAUCGAAUCUUUGAACGCACAUUGCGCCCGCCAGCAUUCUGGCGGGCAUGCCUGUUCGAGCGUCAUUUCAACCCUCAAGCUCUGCUUGGUGUUGGGGCCCUACAGCUGAUGUAGGCCCUCAAAGGUAGUGGCGGACCCUCCCGGAGCCUCCUUUGCGUAGUAACUUUACGUCUCGCACUGGGAUCCGGAGGGACUCUUGCCGUAAAACCCCCAAUUUUCCAAAGGUUGACCUCGGAUCAGGUAGGAAUACCCGCUGAACUUAAGCAUAUCAA